rnacentral:rRNA from 1 species
GACGAACGCUGGCGGCGUGCUUAACACAUGCAAGUCGAGCGGUAAGGCCCUUUCGGGGGUACACGAGCGGCGAACGGGUGAGUAACACGUGGGUGACCUGCCUUCAGCUCUGGGAUAAGCCUGGGAAACUGGGUCUAAUACUGGAUAUGACUCCACGGUGCAUGUCGUGGGGUGGAAAGCCUUGUGCGGCUGAGGAUGGGCCCGCGGCCUAUCAGCUUGUUGGUGGGGUGAGGCCUACCAAGGCGACGACGGGUAGCCGGCCUGAGAGGGCGACCGGCCACACUGGGACUGAGACACGGCCCAGACUCCUACGGGAGGCAGCAGUGGGGAAUCUUGCGCAAUGGGCGAAAGCCUGACGCAGCGACGCCGCGUGAGGGAUGACGGCCU